GAUGUCAAGGAGCGAUUUAGAAAUUAGUUGAGGAGUUUAAUUUCACUAAAAAUAGUGCUUUGCAGCUCCCCAGUGGCACAGUCUUAACGGCUCGCUAAGCGAAGGCAUGAUUGAAAAUGAAUUUGACACCUCAGAUAAACACAGUAUCAUUAUCUCGUUUGCCCUUAAGAGUCGUCGCUGAGUAGACAGAAAAGGACUUCGGCGACUGAGUACCUCUAAGCCCUCUCUGGAAAUAUUUCCGAUCACAUUACACCGCGUUCCACUUGUUCCACUUUCUGAUGCGGAUGACUAAGGAGGCACAUGCUGACUGGAUGUGUUAAGAGCGCUUCCUGUCACGUCGGGAAAUUUGACAAGGUUUUUUUUUUUUUUUUUUUUUAAUUGCAACUUGUGGAGCUGAGCAGGAUUCUAAGAUGGAAUCGGAUGACUCGAAGAGUUGCGUUGGGACGGCAACUACACAUGGCAGAGUGUGCAUUGGAUACCUGGGCCGUGAGUGGGGACUUUGCUGUCUUUGAAUCCACAUCAUCCAAGAGUUGGCUCUUUUUUUUUUUCUACGUUUAUGUCAGUCAGUGACGAUGACCUAAACGGUCUCCACCAGAUGGGUCGGAGUCCACAGAGGCUGAGGCAGGAUGACACGACUUUGUGAAUAUUUGCCGUGGAGCUUCCACCAUCUCCUUCCUCCUCCUCAUCCUCCGGGGAGCAAACAAGUCCUGUUCUCCUUCACUGCCUCAAACAAGGUCAAAUAUAUUUCAGGAUGAGGUCUGGGAAACCGGUCCCCCACACACACACGCACAAAAAAAAGAAUAAUAAAAAAACGAAA